GUUGCAACACAUAAACACACAAACCUUGUUCAUGAAGUUGAGAGGCAUUAGCGAGAAUGGACCAUUAACACCACAAAUAAUGUGCACCACGAUGAGCCUAUUGCGUUGCAUAUGCUUUCAUAAGCAUUAUCUUUUCCCUUUACCCACCAGGUCACCACUUUGUGAUACCUAUAUAUAAAUCCCUAAUCUUUGUUCAUGAUUUUUACGCCAAAGUAUUAAUUCUUUUAGCCUAGUCUUGC
rnacentral:misc_RNA from 1 species